rnacentral:rRNA from 1 species
GACGAACGCUGGCGGCGUGCCUAAUACAUGCAAGUAGAACGCAGUUGCGAACGGGUGAGUAACGCGUAGGUAACUGCCUCAUAGCGGGGGAUAACUAUUGGAAACGAUAGCUAAUACCGCAUACUGUGAGAUGGACCUGCGUUGUAUUAGCUAGUUGGUGAGGUAAAGGCACACCAAGGCGACGAUACAUAGCCGACCUGAGAGGGUGGUCGGGCAAACUGGGACUGAGGCAAGGGCCAGAAUCCUAAGGGAGGGAGGAGGAGGGAAACUUUGGAAAUGGAGGGAAGUCUGAACGAGCAACGCCGGGUGAGUGAAGAAGGUUUUCGGGGCGGAAAACUAUGUUGUGAGAGAAGCGGUAACUAAACAGAAAGGGACGGCUAACUACGUGCCAGCAGCCGCGGUAAUUC